UUUGUUUUCCUUCGCCUUCACCUUCCUGGUUCUUACGGGAAUGAGGCAAAAACCCCGGAGAAGGCUAAAACCCUCCAUUUCUUCUUGUCCCUUCCCCCGUCGCCAUUCGCUAUGCCCUUCCUCCCGUUCUCCUCGUUUUCUUCUUCUAAUGAGAAACCGAACCCUCCCAUCGUUCCUCCUCCUCUUCUCGUGCGUCUUCUUCUGCUCCAUCCCCAUCCCCAGGCGGAAGAAGCUCAUGAUUAUCAAAAGUUGGUAGAUGUUGGUGAUAGAAUAUGAGUUGAGGUUUACAAGUUGUACGGUUAAGGUAGUUUAGUUUAAAAAGUCCCUAAGGAAUUAAUGUUUGGGGAGAUCAAGGGUUGGAUUGGUUUCAUCUGGUAGAAUUUCUGCUUAUUUAGAAGUAUAGUAGACUGCAGAUUAUGUUGCUUGUGAUUAUCCAAUAUUUGUCAUUGGAUCUAUCAUGUCCCGCAAGUAUAGUUCCUUUUUGUAUAUGCAAAGCAGCAGAGCUACAAUUAUCAGCAAAUAUUCCUUCCUCUCACACAGUCUCUUUCAGGUCUUUGGGUUUAUCAAGUGUCUUGCUUUCCUAAAUUUAACUUCUCAAUUUUUGGAGGUUCAGUGAAAUAAAUCCUUUUCCUAAUUUUCAGAAUAAUCACUGAGUGGAAAUAUUCCAAAAUCAUUUUAUUCUUCUCAAAGACACCUCUAAACAUUCUAUUGCUACAUUCUUCUUAUGAUAAUUUGUUAGUUUGAGGAAAAGGAAGAUAAUUUGCUUAUUUUGGUAUUCUGGAAUUUUUGGUUCUUGCAUUCCAAUUCUCAUAAUUUUCUUGUUUGCCACACCCAAUUGUUCUGGAAAAGGAGACAGCAAAAAUUCUUCUGCAAAGUCCCAUUUAAAAAAAAAAAAAAAAUUCUUCUGCAGAAGUUGAGAAUAGCUGAGUCUGGUGUUUCUUCCACAGGAGAAUACCAACCAGGCAAAAACACUUUCAUCUUUGUAUGCAAGUCUUUUUACCAAAAUAACUCACUGAGUAAGGAAGGAAUAUGGUACAUACAAAUUGAAUCAGCUGGAAACAUCAAAAGUAGUCAUGCUUAUUGCAUGCUAGAUGGCCUGACAUGCUGGAAGCAUAGAUGUCUCACCACAGGAUUUGCUUGAAGGACUGCAACGUUACAGCGUAAAGGUCAAGGUGUUGAGCCUCGCCAAGCGGCUCCAGAUGGCCGGGGAUGUGGAUCGUGGAUAUCUUAUCCUUUCAUGAAGCUGCUGGAGCUUUGCAACCAGAAGAACAAGUCGCCUGCACGGCACAAGAAUGAGAGUGAAAGGAAUAAGCCAGACUCCCAAUUCCAAUAUCAGCAUUGCUUCGAAUCCUGCUGGGUUAUUGUUGUAGUUUCUGCAGGCUGGUUAAUGGAUAGCUAUAUGUCAAGGAGUCGAUCUGGGUAUUAACUUUUCUAAUCUUCAGUAAGCUGAGAUCGUAUUUGCAUUUUAUUUCUUUUAUUUGGACAAUGGAUGAGAUCAUUAAUUUGUUAUUCUGACUCAUUUACUUGAACAAGUGGCAUCACCUAUCUCAUCUAUGAUUUGGGUGGUGACACAGAUACAGUGACAACCACUUUGGUUCAAGCAGUCUACAUUCAUUGCUUGCGUUUGCUUUAGUCUUUUCUGAGUUCUCUUUUCUUCCAAGUCUUAAUGGAAGCUUCCUGGUCCUGAUCCUGCAUUGAUGAUUGGUUGCAAAGCAUUAGGAGCUGGAGUAAGCAACAAUUUAUCAGCAAGCAAGAAUACAUCAUCAAACCUAUCUGGGACCGGAUAAAGCACAGAUGUCACUUCCCAUUUUUUGAUGACAACUUUGGAUCUUUUCCUUCAAAUAAGCUGAAGUAUUUCUCUUGAAUCUAUCACUGGAUAAAAUUCUUGUGAAUUUCCAAAAACACUGCUAAAUUUCUCAAGUUAUACCACUAUGGUUAUACCCGCGGCACCAAACAUUAUA